GAGAAAGAGAAAUGUCAGGUUGAUAGAGAGCGGCCUCCUUCCCACUGCCUGGAGGAUGGAGAGACCAAGAAAGCAAGGCAGAAGGAACAGCACCCCUGGGCAAGGGGAGAGUGCUGGGCUGUGCCAAGUGUCUCAAGGAGCUAUUGGGGCCCUUCACUCACAACCACCCUAAACGCUGCAUGUGGGAUCCUGGGCAGGGUGAUUUACUGCAACAUGACCUGCACGUGUCUUUUGAGAAGCUGACGGGCUAGAUGCUGAGGUCUUGUUUUCCCAUCUGCUGGCAGCUCUGCAGAACCCCUGACUUCUGCGUGAGACACAGGAGCAUGUGGGCCAUUGCCUGGAAAGAGCCCUCCAGAAAGCAAGGCGGCAAGUGCCCUUGUGCUGCCAAGGUGUAAACGGGAUCCUGUUCCUGAAGGCAGCUCGCAGCAGCGCUGUGACCUGGGGGCGAGGGUGAGUCGCUGUGGCCAGCAGCUGUAGUGCUGCCACCUGAGCAACCGACUGCAGCGCCCGGGUGUUGCUGCCUUGCAGCAGUUCCAGCUCAGAGCCUGCAGGACGGGCAUCCUUCCUCUUCGCAGGGCUCUCACGGCCUUGCAUCAGCAGUGCGUGCAUGCCUGGCUUGGAUGUCCUCUGUGUUACGGGUGUUGGGGUUUCUUCCCCACUCUCCUCUGGUGAGCUCGUGCUCUCAGCAAGGGCCUCGGCUAAUGGAAAACAGCCAAGGUCCUUUGGAGCAAGGCUGGUUUACAGCGGCGCGGAACCCGCCCUCCCAAGGUACUCCAUGCAGCACUAUUCCAGCCAUCGUAAUGUCCACGUGCAGGCCUGAUUUACCUUCCUCUCCUCACAUCCACUUAUCAAAGAAACCAGGACGUGAAAGUACCGCGCAUGCUUGUUGGAAAUACCACAGAGUGAAUUCAAGGCUUCUGGAGACAGCUCCUCAAAAGGAAGAUUUGAAAGAGCUUGUGCGCUCCCUUCCAGAUGCUUUUAUCUCUGACUCACAGCAAGAAAAUGCGGUCACCUCAUUUCCUCUGCCUGAUGGACCAGAAGUACUGUGGCAGGUGUAUACUGAAGAAGCAAGCACAGAUUUUUCUUCAGAAUUAUCUUGGGAGUGAGCAGUUACUUGAAAGCAAGGCGAGAGGCUUGUGUUGGAGUAGCCACUCCCAGAAUAGCCGCUUUGCUCUGAUGGAUUUAUAAUAGCCACUUUAACCAGUGCCAGGAAAACACUGAACUUCAAAUGAGUCAUUUUUCCACAGCUGUGAAUAAGUUAGGAUGAACUUCAGAUAGGCACACUUUUUUUUUUUUUUUUUGAGAUACCACAACCACAGCAAAGCCUUGAGCCCCUUCACUUUCAUCCACAAGAAGUGGCCAUGCACAUCUUUCUUGGACUGGUAUACCUGAAGCUUUCUUAUUCUGCACAGGAGAAGCUACAAGAUAUUUUCUGGGAGAGUACUGGCUUUUGGUUACCUGUCUCUGCAUGACUCCACGCCCAGAUUCAAUGCUGGUGCAAAGAAAAGCAGUGCCACAGACAUAGGGCUGUGGCAUUGGGCAGCUGCAGGCAGAAGUAACCUGGAGUGUUACACACACUACUGAGGCUAAGGAACAAGCUUGCUGCAGUCACCAAAGCCUUCUUGCUCUCCUUCUUUCUACAUAAAAUGUCUGUAUACAUACACCUGGGCUUUCUGCGGCCCCAUUUCUUCCCGUCCAUGCCAUAAUGCCUUUCCCCACAUGCUUCCUUCAAUUAUGGUUCUCUUCCCCAUACCAAAGUCUUCCAAGGGUACACUCCACCUCUGCCCUUCUGUCUUUUGACCUUAAUUUUUUUUCACUUUUCUCAUUUUUCUUUUCUUUCUCCUUCAAAGUGACAGAAUUUCAGACAACAUUUGAGAAGACGGGCACUGCCUGGAAUGUGUUAAAAGCCACCAUCACCCAAUAGCUAUGGCGCUAUUGCUAUUCUGUCUCUAUUAUAUCCAUUGUGCUUUCCUGGUUUUCACCAAAAUCAGUGACUGAGUAUAGAACACGUCCUGAAAUUUUUACACUUUUCUCGUUUAGCUCUUGGGCUCAGGGACUCUCGUCUGGAUGGCACUCCCAGGCUUCCUGGGAUCUGCUGGUCACUAGGGUAUGCAUAGCAUGGACUUGCAGCUCUCAGUGCUGGAAGAGAAGGACAAAGACAUAACCACCACCUCCCUUUUUCUGCCCCAGUUGCCCAUACGUCAAGGCCUAUCUCUUUCUGAUCUGUACAUUCCUGGGAGUAUACUUAGCUGAAAAAUUAUACCUUUGCGUUAUGUGCUGCCCUUUUGAGUAUGGGAGACUCCUCUUCACUGACAGACAGCACCCAUUUUCCUCUUACAGCUGCUGCAGCCUGGCAGAGCUGAGGGGCACAUGCUGUGUUCUCGCACUGUGGCCCAACUUUGGCCUGUCCCGGGCUUUGCCUUUACCUGAAAGAGAAGGGCGUGCUUUGUUCUGCUAGCACAGAAGCGAGAGUCCUGGCAGUGAGAACAGACGGAGGCAUCACGCAAUCACAGCAACUGUAAAUAUGCCACGCUUCUUUUUAUUGUUAUGUCAUAAUCACAACGUUCCUUUAAUGUAGUUUGUUUGACUUCUGUGCUAAAAAUAAGUGGAUCUUGCUGUUUCCAGGACAACCACUAACCCGAUGGCUUAUCUCGGCGCCGCUCCUCUGUCAAAAGGAUGUUCUAAAAAGAGCUAACCAUGAAUAUUAAAAAUGAAGCAUGCACACAAUAAAGCAUUCCAUGGGAAGAGCCCCA
rnacentral:lncRNA from 1 species